rnacentral:rRNA from 1 species
AACUAAUUCUAGCCCAAACUUCAAUAAACCUAACCAUAUCUCCCCCUAAAACAAAACAUUUACCUCAAUAAAAGUAUAGGAGAUAGAAAUUAUUAAUAUGGAGCAAUAGAGAUAGUACCGUAAGGGAAAGAUGAAAGAACAGUUAAUAGUAAAACAAAGCAAAGACCUACCCUUCUACCUUUUGCAUAAUGAAUUAACUAGAACUCAACUUAGCAAAAAGAAUUUCAGCUAAGUACCCCGAAACCAAACGAGCUACUCAUGAGCAGUUAACAGAACUAACCCGUCUAUGUAGCAAAAUAGUGGGAAGACUUACGAGUAGAGGUGAAAGACCUAACGAGCUUGGUGAUAGCUGGUUGUCCAGACUUGAAUUUCAGUUCAACUUUAAAUUUAUCUAAAGCACUAACCUUUAAGCCUAAUGUAAAUUUAACUGUUAAUCUAAAGAGGUACAGCUCUUUAGAGAAAGGAAAUAACCUUAACUAGAGAGUAAAUUAUAAAACUACCAUAGUUGGCUUAAAAGCAGCCAUCAAUUAAAAAAGCGUUCAAGCUUAACCCAACAUAUAUAAUCUAAUCCUAACAUUCAAAUACUGAACUCCUAGAUUAUUAACUGGACUAAUCUAUAAACGUAUAGAAGCAAUAAUGUUAAUAUGAGUAACAAGAAAAAUAUUUUCUCCCAGCAUAAGCUUAUAUCAGACCGAAUAAUUCGCUGAUAGUUAACAAGUAAAUAACAACACUCAAAAUAUUAAGCCCUUAUUAUAAACUUCUGUUARCCCAACACCGGAAUGCACUAAGGGNAAGAUUAAAAAAAGUAAAAGGAACUCGGCAAACAUUAACCCCGCCUGUUUACCAAAAACAUCACCUCUAGCAUCACAAGUAUUAGAGGCACUGCCUGCCCAGUGACACAUGUUAAACGGCCGCGGUAUCCUGACCGUGCAAAGGUAGCAUAAUCAUUUGUUCCUUAAAUAGGGACUUGUAUGAAUGGCUUAACGAGGGUUUAACUGUCUCUUACUUCUAAUCAGUGAAAUUGACCUUUCCGUGAAGAGGCGGAAAUAACUAAAUAAGACGAGAAGACCCUAUGGAGCUUAAAUUUAUUAGUCUAAACAAUCUAACACCACAUCCUCCGGGACACAAAACACAACUUCUAGACUAUACAUUUUGGUUGGGGUGACCUCGGAGUAAAAAACAACCUCCGAAUGAUCUUAAUCCAGACAUAACCUGUCUAAAUUUAUAUUCAUUAAUUGACCCAAAUUUAUUGAUCAACGGAACAAGUUACCCUAGGGAUAACAGCGCAAUUCCACUCAAGAGUCCAUAUCGACAGUGGAGUUUACGACCUCGAUGUUGGAUCAGGACAUCCAAAUGGUGUAACCGCUAUUAAUGGUUCGUUUGUUCAACGAUUAAAGUCCUACGUGAUCUGAGUUCAGACCGGAGAAAUCCAGGUCGGUUUCUAUCUAUUUAAACAUUUCUCCCAGUACAAAGGACAAGAGAAAUAAGGCCCAUUGAACCUCUAUGCCUUAGAACAAUAAAUGAAAUAAUCUCAAUUUAGUAAAACAUACCAAUAUAAUCAACCCAAAACAAGGGUUU